rnacentral:rRNA from 1 species
GAUGAACGCUAGCGGCAGGCCUAACACAUGCAAGUCGAACGGUAACAGAAAAAGCUUGCUUUUUGAUGACGAGUGGCGCACGGGUGCGUAAUGAAAAGCUAUCUGCCCAUCAGACUGGAAUAGCCCAGGGAAACUUGGAUUAAUGCCGGAUAUGAGGAAACUUGAAAGGUGCGUUUGCAUCACUGGUGGAUGAGGCUUUUUCCUAUUAGCUUGUUGGUGAGGUAAUGGCUCACCAAGGUGAUGAUAGGUAGCCGGCCUGAGAGGGUGAUCGGCCACAUUGGGACUGAGAUACGGCCCAGACUCCUACGGGAGGCAGCAGCUAAGAAUAUUCCGCAAUGGGGGAAACCCUGACGGAGCAAUCUCUCAUGGAUGAUGAAUGUCUUCGGAUUGUAAAAUCCUUUCGGCAAGGAAGAAUGUGUAGAGUAGGAAAUGGCUUUGCAUUGACGGUACUUGCAGAAGAAGUCCCGGCUAACUACGUGCCAGCCGCCGCAGUAACAC